AGUGAACGCUGGCGGCGUGCUUAACACAUGCAAGUCGAACGAUGAUCUCUUGCUUGCAAGAGUGAUUAGUGGCGAACGGGUGAGUAAUGUAUAGCUAACCUGCCCUUUAGUGGGGGACAACAGUUGGAAACGACUGCUAAUACCCCAUACUCCUUUUUACCACAUGGUAGAUUGGGAAAGAUUUAUUGCUAAAGGAUGGGGCUUUAUGGUAUCAGAUAGUUGGUGGGGUAAUGGCCUACCAAGUCUAUGACGCCUAGCUGGUCUGAGAGGAUGAUCAGCCACACUGGAACUGAGACACGGUCCAGACUCCUACGGGAGGCAGCAGUGGGGAAUAUUGCACAAUGGGGGAAACCCUGAUGCAGCAACGCCGCGUGGAGGAUGACGCAUUUCGGUGUGUAAACUCCUUUUAUAUCCCAAGAUAAUGACGGUAGGAUAUGAAUAAGCACCGGCUAACUCCGUGCCAGCAGCCGCGGUAAUGUCGUACG
rnacentral:rRNA from 1 species